GCCUCCGUGUGCCCCGGGAGAGAAGCUGAAUGCUGAGGCCCAAGGAAGGGGCAUAAAAAUGAAGGUUGACGUUGUGGAUCCACCAGGAAAGGUGGUGAAGCUGGGAAACGUCUGCAUUGGACAGACGGUGAAGAAGAUGGUCACCGUAGCCAACAAGAGUGCAGCCCCUCUCACCUUUAAGCUGAGGGUCACGUCCACCGUGCCAGAGUUGCAGGAAGCUGGGGUUCUGUGCUUGAAGCCCAG